rnacentral:rRNA from 1 species
CCUACGGGUGGCUGCAGUGGGGAAUAUUGGACAAUGGGGGGAACCCUGAUCCAGCCAUGCCGCGUGUGUGAAGAAGGCCCUCGGGUUGUAAAGCACUUUCAGUGAGGAAGAACGCCUGGUGGUUAAUACCCAUCAGGAAAGACAUCACUCACAGAAGAAGCACCGGCUAACUCCGUGCCAGCAGCCGCGGUAAUACGGAGGGUGCGAGCGUUAAUCGGAAUUACUGGGCGUAAAGCGCGCGUAGGUGGCUUGAUAAGCCGGUUGUGAAAGCCCCGGGCUCAACCUGGGAACGGCAUCCGGAACUGUCAAGCUAGAGUGCAGGAGAGGAAGGUAGAAUUCCCGGUGUAGCAGUGAAAUGCGUAGAGAUCGGGAGGAAUACCAGUGGCGAAGGCGGCCUUCUGGACUGACACUGACACUGAGGUGCGAAAGCGUGGGUAGCAAACAGGAUUAGAUACCCCAGUAGUC